UCCCUGGUAGCUCAGUUGGUAAAGAGUCUGCCUGUAAUGUAGGAGACCCUGGUUUGAUUCCUGGUUCAGGAA
rnacentral:tRNA from 1 species